GAGUUUGAUCGUGGCUCAGAUUGAACGCUGGCGGCAGGCCUAACACAUGCAAGUCGAGCGGAUGACGGGAGCUUGCUCCUUGAUUCAGCGGCGGACGGGUGAGUAAUGCCUAGGAAUCUGCCUGGUAGUGGGGGACAACGUUUCGAAAGGAACGCUAAUACCGCAUACGUCCUACGGGAGAAAGCAGGGGACCUUCGGGCCUUGCGCUAUCAGAUGAGCCUAGGUCGGAUUAGCUAGUUGGUGGGGUAAUGGCUCACCAAGGCGACGAUCCGUAACUGGUCUGAGAGGAUGAUCAGUCACACUGGAACUGAGACACGGUCCAGACUCCUACGGGAGGCAGCAGUGGGGAAUAUUGGACAAUGGGCGAAAGCCUGAUCCAGCCAUGCCGCGUGUGUGAAGAAGGUCUUCGGAUUGUAAAGCACUUUAAGUUGGGAGGAAGGGCAGUAAGUUAAUACCUUGCUGUUUUGACGUUACCGAUAGAAUAAGCACCGGCUAACUCUGUGCCAGCAGCC
rnacentral:rRNA from 1 species